rnacentral:rRNA from 1 species
GAUGAACGCUGGCGGCGUGCCUAAUACAUGCAAGUCGAGCGAACGGACGCGGAGCUUGCUUUUCUGAUGUUAGCGGCAGACGGGUGAGUAACGCGUGGAUAACCUACCUAUAAGACUGAGAUCACUUCGGGAAACCGGAUCUAAUCCCGGAUAAUCUUUUGAACCGCAUGGUUCAAAAGUGAAAGACGGUCUUGCUGUCUCUUCUCGAUGCUUCCGCGCUGCAUUAGCUAGUUGGUAAGGUAAAGGCUUACCAAGGCAACGAUGCAUAGCCGACCUGAGAGAGUGAUCGGCGACACUGGAGCUGAGACACGGUCCAGACUCCUACGGGAGGCAGCAGUAGGGAAUCUUCCGCAAUGGGCGAAAGCCUGACGGAGCAACGCGGCGUGAGUGAUGAAGGUCUUCGGAUCGUAAAACUCUGUUAUUAGGGAAGAACAUAUGUGGAAGUAACUGUGCACAGCUUGACGGUACCUAAUCAGAAAGCAACGGCUAACUACGUG